GGUUUGGUUCAGAGGAUCUUUGCUGUAACUGUGCCAGAGUGACAGCUCAGAGAAAACCGCUUCCUGUUAGUCUGCUUGUGGAACUUUGCCCGACACAAACAGGAAGAACUUAAAGGACUAUUCCAAGUUUUUCUUUGAAGUUUUACGCCCUUAAAAAGACAUCGCUGACAACCACGGGCAGCUGGGGCUCCACCCUCAGCAGGCGGUGCAGCUCCGCCUUGGCCAAUGGGAGGCGGCUCCUGUCAGAGGAGUCCACCACGUACACCAGAACGUGAGUCUUUCUCACGUAGUCCGAC